rnacentral:rRNA from 1 species
AUUGAACGCUGGCGGCAGGCCUAACACAUGCAAGUCGAGCGAGCGGCGGACGGGUGAGUAAUGUCUGGGAGACUGCCUGAUAGAGGGGGGUAACUACUGGAAACGGUAGCUAAUACAGCAUACCAUCAGAUGUGCCCCGAUGGGGUUAGCUAGUGGGUGGGGUAACGGCGCACCUAGGCGACGAUCCCUAGCUGGUCUGAGAGGAUGACCAGCCACACUGGAACUGAGACACGGUCCAGACUCCUACGGGAGGCAGCAGUGGGGAAUAUUGCACAAUGGGCGCAAGCCUGAUGCAGCCAUGCCGCGUGUGUGAAGAAGGCCUUCGGGUUGUAAAGCACUUUCAGCGGGGAGGCGUUACCCGCAGAAGAAGCACCGGCUAACUCCGUGCCAGCAGCCGCGGUAAUAC